GCUUGUCAGAGAGAUAAGACUGUGACCUCUGCCCUGACGCACACAGUAAAGUGGAGAAGGGAGGACGCUGCUUGGCUGUAUUGAAGAUCGCUGCGUGGAACAUGAGGUCAGCUGAUCCCACAGAGAUUAUUACCGUCUGGAUGAGACUACAAGCAUCAGUAUCUCGCUAUAUCUAUGGAACAACUGAGAGAUCUCAAUGCAUAUAUAUAUGGAAGAUAGGAAGGAUUCGAUGGAAUGUGAAGAAAUACGCCACCCGUUCUGUGCCUAUAUCACUAUGUUUUUUGUGCUGUUCUGUAUCUACAAAAA